UGCGUAGGCGGUUUAACAAGUCAGAGGUGAAAGGCUACGGCUCAACCGUAGUAAGCCUUUGAAACUGUUGAACUUGAGUAUAGGAGAGGAAAGUGGAAUUCCUGGUGUAGCGGUGAAAUGCGUAGAUAUCAGGAGGAACAUCGAUGGCGAAGGCAGCUUUCUGGACUAUUACUGACGCUGAGGCACGAAAGCGUGGGGAGCAAACA
rnacentral:rRNA from 1 species